rnacentral:sRNA from 2 species
GCACCUCAUAAAACGGGUGCCGGGAUUCUCACCCCGCUGGAGAUAAAGGCGAUACACGACGCGCCAGCGUCUUUUUU